UCCUCUCUAAAUUCCAAUGUCUCUAGCUCUUUCGCCUUCUAGAAACAACCACUCUAUUACCACCCCUGCCACUUCAUCGCCGCCGCCCUCACCAACCCACCCUCAGCCCGCCGCCAAUGAAAUCACUACAAUUCCCUCUUCCUCUGUCCCCAAUGCCAUCGAAGAUUCGUUGUUGUCAGCGUCUCCGCUAUGUUCUCGGAUCUCGAGUCUCACCUCUUUAGCUCUCUCGUAAGCUCUCAGAGAGACUUGGUGUUAAGGUUUGGCUCAAAAGGAAGGACUUGCAAGAUGAUGAUUUGGAUGACGAUGACUUCGACGCCGUUGUUUCCAUGGUUCGUUCCAUAAACAUUAACGAUCGCACCUAUAUAUGAUCCCAAACCUCAUCUUCCACUUCCUUAGCGAUUACUGUUGCUCCUCAGCCCUUGUCCUUGCUGGAGGAGCUCUCCUUCCAUGACAAAAAUUGCCACAGCUCCAUUGAACGGCGUUUGCCAUCUCCAACGAGACACGCUAGCAAGAACUCUUUCUUCUCCUCCUCUUACAAAGGCUUUGACAAACGCAAACUUCGAGCCGAGGCCCUAAUCAUCGCAUGCAAAGUUAGGAUGGGUGUUGGGCACACUACUUUGAGUCGUUUGAUGACUCAUAUCUUCCUGGGAGAUGAUAGUAAUGAUGACAGCUUGGCAACCCCUAUCGUUGAGCCCAAGGUUCUACCAGCCGAUGAGGGUGAAGCUCCGUUGCAGUCUCUGACCCAGAUAACUCCCAGUGACACUGUUGCUGGGGAAGCUGAUCGGGGUAAAGAGAUCGGGGUUGAGCCCAAAGCGGAGGUGAUCGUCAUCCCCAAUCACAAGAAGAAGAAGAAUGACAUCGGCUUGGAACAAGUUCUCACAGUGAUGGAGAAAAACUUCGAUGUGGGAUUAUUCAUCAACUCUUAACUCCUCCCGAGCACUGAGAAAUUCUUCUAGGAAGAAGACCUGGCUACCCAAGUGAGGUGGACAUACCAAAGCCUCCUCUGGAAAGCCGCCAUUGCCAGAAAGGUGGAACUCGUGUUGGCCCAGGGCUAGGUUUUGGAAGGGAAACAUAGGGCUGUCCAGAGGGAUAUCGCUAACCUGAAGGCUGAGGGGGAGUCCCUGAAGACCCGGCUUGCCGAAAAGGAGAAAAAGGCGAAGGAAGCUGCCGAGGAGAUCAACCACCUUGUGGAACGAGACCUCACUCUCUCCAAACAGCUCAAUGAAGCCCAAGGCUGGGCUGUCAUAGCAGAGAAUAAAGUGAAAGAGCUGGAGAAAAAGCUGGAAGAGGUCGUGAAGUCAGCAGACUCCGCUCGACAGGCCGCUACCAUGAAAAAGAAGAAUAAGGAGAUCCUUAAGGACGUUAGGGAGGCUAUCACCGCUACCGAGGAGGCGAUCAAGGCUUAGGUCUCUCUCCUCGUUCUCGACUUCGACACUUUGGCUAUCAGUGCCAUCAAAAUGAUUCAAGAUGGAAAGGUUGUCAACAUCCCGAAGAAGUGAAGUGUUUUAUCACUUGUAAUCCUUUGUACUCUUUUUGAACUCUUUUUGUUAUUGGGCUGAUGUGAUACCCCUUGCAUGUAAUUGAACAAUGUUUCUUUUUUGGUUGUUGGGAUGACAUGAUGCCCUUUUGAGCUACUGCUUUAACGAUUUCGACUCUUAUAAGUAGAAUCUUUGUGUUAUUUUGGUCGCUUUAUCGCUAUGUUUCCUCCUUGUUUGAACGUUAAGCUAUAACUUGAUGGAUAUCUAUAUAUCGUUGCUUUCAGGUUCCUGGGGUGAUCAUUCUUGGGAAAACAUGCUUAUAACUUGGUAAUAAUGAAUGAAUAAAUAAAAGAAAAAAUAAAUUUCAAAAUCAACACGUAAUCACUUUUUAACAAUGGGCCUCGUUAAAACCCCUUGCCGACGUCCUACUCUGAUGACAAGGGAAAAGAGUACCCCUUCUUUAAUAAUAUAUAAUGAGACAAGUGAUUUGAUGAGACAAAGUAAAUUAUGGUAAAUGAAAGUAAGAGAUAAAAAAGGGACAACUGGUUUGGACGGGAGGUUGUUAAGCCUUUAGGAGUAAAAUCUCCUAAGGUUUGUUGCAUUCCAAGUCCUCGGGACCUCCUUCCUGUCUAACUGCUCAAACUUGUAGGCUCUCUUUCUGUGGACUUACUUUUCCCUGUAGGGCCUUUCCCAGUUAGGGGAGAGCUUGCAUUCUCCAGGAUCGGUGGACCGAUGUUGUUGCGUCGUAGUACCAAGUCACCCUCUUCGAACCUCUUGGCUUGCACCUUCCGAUUGUAACGCAAUGCCAAACUUUGCUUUAGUGCCGCUUUUGACAAGUGAGGCACUCCCAGGUUCAUCUAUCAGGUCUUUCUCAAUUGCCUUAUCGCUUCCAUCGAGGAGUAACCUUGAGCUCGGUUUUCCAAUUCCUACAGGAAUCACUACAUCGACGCCAUAAGUAAACCGGAAGGGCGUCUCCCUGGUAGAAGAUUGUGGGGUUGUUCUGUAAGGCCACAGGACAGAGGCUAACUCGUCUGUCCAAGAGCCCUUUCUCUGAUCCAAGCGCUUAUUCAGCUCAUUGAGGAUUGUAAGACCCAAGACUUUUGAAAAGUUCUAUUUUGAACUAAUCUCAAAUUAUAUAUGUUUAUUUAUAGUUUUUAUUUCAAAAAUUAUUUUUAUUGAAAAAUAGUUAAAGGCAAUUAAUUGGAUUUAAAAUAAAUUAAGAUUUUUAUCUAAACUCUAUUCCUAAGGAUUAUUUUCCUAUUUAUGAUUUAAAGUUUUAGAGAUUUGAAAAUAAUGGAGUUUGGCUAUUUAAAUUAGAAUUUUGUCUAAUUUUAUAAUUAUUGAAUUAUUUUCUAUAUUUAAAUUAUAAAAUUAGUGGUUAUGAAAUAAUAAGAAUUUUAUAAGAUUUGAUUUUAGAUAAUUUAAUUUAUAUCAUUUAAUACUUUAAGUUAAAGAUAAAGAAAAAAUAAUUAUAUUAUCAUGAAUUUUCAAUUAGAGUAAUUUAUUGAAAAUCAAUUAGUAUUUUUAUACUACAAAUAAUAUUUUAAAGUAACUUUAGAGAUUAAAUUAGUUUUUCAAUAUUAAUAUCUUAUGCUCUAAUUUUAUUAAAAUUAUCAAAUUAUCCUUAUACCUAAUUUUUACCAAAACCCUAAAUCCCCAAAAUAUCACGCUAAUCCUAAUUCUACCCUAACCCUUAGCCACCACCGCCACACCCCCCAAACCCUUCAGCCAAACUUCAGCCACUAACCAAGAAAGAAAUGAAAAAAAAAAGAAAGAAAGGGGGAAAGAGGGAACGGGAGAGCAGAGGGGAAGAGAGAUCGGUGAGGGAGAAGAGUAGAGGGAGGAGCUACAUCGCCAUCACCGGCCUUGGGCUCGCCGCCGUUCAUACCCCGUUGCGUCACCACCCAGCCGUCUCCAGCCCACCGCCAGUCGCUGUUGUCUUCACCAAGGGAGGAGAGAGAAAAAGGCGAACGCGAGGAGAGAGAGAGAGAGGGAGCUCGCGAGGAAGCUGCCGCCUUCGAAGCUGGGUUCGUCGUUGCCGUUAGAGUCCGCAUCACUAUCGAACUUGCUGCUGUCACCGAGGGGAAGCCCGUCGCCGCCAGCUUCGUCGGGUCCCCGCCGCCGAGCCCGUCUUUGCCACCGCCACUGGAAGCGCGAAGAGAGAACGCGCGAGGGAAACUGUCGCAGAGCUGCCGUCGCCGCCGCGUUGCUGGGCUCGCCGUCGUCCUGCCCGCGCGGCUGCUGCGUUGCCGGAGCUCCUCGCCGCCGCUGUUGACGACGGAAACUGCCUUCCAAGCCUGUGUCUGUUGGUUAUACGGUCACCACGAGUUUCUCUGUCGCCGUCCAAGCUGCCACCAGAAGGAUCCACCACAGCCUCCUCUGUUCUUGUCUUCGAAUUAGAACUGCCCUUUUCCACUGAAUAUGUCUGUUUGAAAAAUUAAAAUGGGUGCUGCUGCCACCGGUUCGGUCACAUUGGAAUCACUGCUGCUGCCAUAAAACAGAAAGGGAAGGGAGUUACUAUGUUUAACCUGUGUGAAUUCAACUAGUUGAGGAACCGGAUGAAGAAGCAUUAAGAAGAGUUAUACUGCGUCUGGUUUAUAAGAUGUUGUAUUAAUUAGAUGUUUUCUCCCCUCGUCUUUGUUAUUACAAGUGUGUAAGAGGGAUAGGAAUUGUAUGUUUUAUAUGUAUAUUAUAUUAUGAGUUAUUAUGUAAAGAGUCUUGUAUAUGAAUCUAUGCCUGUUUGUAUUUUUCUUAAGAUAAAGUGUGUAUUUUUUUUGGUUCUUUUGAAGAAAUCAGCGAUACAGUGUCAGGCCACAGGCUCCUAUUUUAGUAUUUCGUAUGUAAAGUAGUCGUAAUACUUCUUCCUAUCAGAGUGGCGCAGCCGGAAGCGUGAGUUCUGAUAGUGAGGGUGUUACAUUAUGGUAUCAGAGCGGUCUUUUCUGUAGAGCCUGAGGAAUGGACCGAUUAUGCUUCAAUUGCAUACUCUGAGAGUCAGUCAUGUAGUAGGUCUUGUUUGGAUAACGAGAAUAGAGUUUUAAGUACAUGACAGUCUUUUGAUAAAUACCAUUAAUCUUGCAUUGCAUAAUUCUUGGUAUUAAGUUUGGCCAGCUUAACACUAGUGAAUUAUGUAUAUGUAAGCAUUAAUGGGUUAUCAUGGACAAUAUGCGAGUCAUAAAUAAUGCGAAUCGCGGGUUUUGGGAACGUUAAGAGUUAAAUCUUGAGGUUACUCGGUU